rnacentral:lncRNA from 1 species
UUGAGUGUCGCUGGAAUUUUGUUCAGGCCUAUCAUCAAGGUUCAUGUCGUCGCUGAUGCUGUAUUGCUCUGGAUGGGGUGCGAUGGGGGAAUUCAGCUGCUGAGGAGCGCUAGCAAUAGCAACAGGUGUGGAGGGGUCGACUAGGUAAAGCGCAGAGUCGUUGCUAAUGUUGUUCCAGAUGCUGUCCUCUUCAAUGGUCAGGAGACUGCCAUGCAGAUUGUGCCAGUGCAACCAGGAGGACAGACAGACAGGUUGAGCUAGAUUAGAGUCUAACAAGUACCAGUGCCAGCAUGUUUGGUCAGAGUUGAUGGCUUUCUUUAGAGUAACAGAGUGUGCGCGGUUGCUGCUGUCAGUUGUUGCAAGAAUAAGAGCAGAGCUGCAGGCACUGGUAGCAAGGAGACUGUCA